rnacentral:rRNA from 1 species
GUUUUGGGGGGUGGAUUUAGCCAUGCUAGUUGCACGAGUUCACACUCGUGGCGAAAAGCUCAGUAACACGUGGCCAAACUACCCUACAGAGAACGAUAACCUCGGGAAACUGAGGCUAAUAGUUCAUACGGGAGUCCUGCUGGAAUGCCGACUCCCCGAAACGCUCAGGCGCUGUAGGAUGUGGCUGCGGCCGAUUAGGUAGACGGUGGGGUAACGGCCCACCGUGCCGAUAAUCGGUACGGGUUGUGAGAGCAAGAACCCGGAGACGGAAUCUGAGACAAGAUUCCGGGCCCUACGGGGCGCAGCAGGCGCGAAACCUUUACACUGCACGCAAGUGCGAUAAGGGGACCCCAAGUGCGAGGGCAUAUAGUCCUCGCUUUUCUCGACUGUAAGGCGGUCGAGGAAUAAGAGCUGGGCAAGACCGGUGCCAGCCGCCGCGGUAAUACCGGCAGCUCAAGUGAUGACCGAUAUUAUUGGGCCUAAAGCGUCCGUAGCCGGCCACGAAGGUUCAUCGGGAAAUCCGCCAGCUCAACUGGCGGGCGUCCGGUGAAAACCACGUGGCUUGGGACCGGAAGGCUCGAGGGGUACGUCCGGGGUAGGAGUGAAAUCCUGUAAUCCUGGACGGACCACCGAUGGCGAAAGCACCUCGAGAAGACGGAUCCGACGGUGAGGGACGAAAGCUAGGGUCUCGAACCGGAUUAGAUACCCGGGUAGUCCUAGCUGUAAACGAUGCUCGCUAGGUGUGGCACAGGCUACGAGCCUGUGCUGUGCCGUAGGGAAGCCGAGAAGCGAGCCGCCUGGGAAGUACGUCCGCAAGGAUGAAACUUAAAGGAAUUGGGGGGGGGAAGCAACA